ensembl:lncRNA
UUUUUAACUUCUUAUUUCUGCUUCCUGCCUCCAUGUUCGAGUUUUUCAUGGUUAUUUUGUUUUUGGGUGGCUGCUUGUUAGUUAGCCACCUCUUUCCGCCGUCCAGUAGGAGGAUAUAGAUGAAAGGCAGGCAGAAUGCUCGGUAGAGGGAUGCCGUCUACUUAAAGGUCAUUUAUUUCCUCUGUCACUUUGUUAGGGCGAGGGAGGAAAAGACGAAACGCAGUGUUUUUAUGACCCCCAGUGUUGGUAGGCGGCUUCCUAGGAAGAAUAUGCUUCUUCUUCUCUGUUUAAUUCAUGUCCUCGGAGGUGUUGUGUUAGGUGUUGUGUUAGGUGUUGUGUUAGGUGUUGUGUUAGGUGUUAUGUUAGGUGUUAUGUUAGGUGUUAUGUUAGGUGUUGUGUUAGGUGUUAUGUUAGGUGUUAUGUUAGGUGUUGUGUUAGGUGUUAUGUUAGGUGUUAUGUUAGGUGUUGUGUUAGGUGUUGUGUUAGGUGUUAUGUUAGGUGUUAUGUUAGGUGUUAUGUUAGGUGUUAUGUUAGGUGUUAUGUUAGGUGUUAUGUUAGGUGUGUGUUAGGUGUUAUGUUAGGUGUUAUGUUAGGUGUUGUGUUAGGUGUUGUGUUAGGUGUUGUGUUAGGUGUUAUGUUAGGUGUUAUGUUAGGUGUUAUGUUAGGUGUUAUGUUAGGUGUUAU